rnacentral:ribozyme from 1 species
AAGAGUUGCUAUCGUGGUUUUCGAUAGAGAGGCUACUUACUUACUCUACAGUUUCCGCAGUGUCUCGUGUCUCGGAUCUCUCUUUUUCGGAAUUUU